rnacentral:tRNA from 2 species
GCUACUAUAGCUCAGCUGGUAGAGCAUCUCAUUCGUAAUGAGAGGGUCGUAGGUUCGAAUCCUAUUAGUAGCUCCA